AGUCUGCAACCCGACUCCAUGAAGCUGGAUUCGCUAGUAAUCGCGCAUCAGCCACGGCGCGGUGAAUACGUUCCCGGGCCUUGUACACACCGCCCGUCAAGCCAUGAAAGCCGGGGGUACCUGAAGUGCGUAACCGCGAGGAGCGCCCUAGGGUAAAACUGGUGAUUGGGGCUAAGUCGUAACAAGGUAUC
rnacentral:rRNA from 1 species